GGGUUGUGAGGUUAAGCGACUAAGCGUACACGGUGGAUGCCCUGGCAGUCAGAGGCGAUGAAGGACGUGCUAAUCUGCGAUAAGCGCCGGUAAGGUGAUAUGAACCGUUAUAACCGGCGAUUUCCGAAUGGGGAAACCCAGUGUGAUUCGUCACACUAUCAUUAACUGAAUCCAUAGGUUAAUGAGGCGAACCGGGGGAACUGAAACAUCUAAGUACCCCGAGGAAAAGAAAUCAACCGAGAUUCCCCCAGUAGCGGCGAGCGAACGGGGAGGAGCCCAGAGCCUGAAUCAGCAUGUGUGUUAGUGGAAGCGUCUGGAAAGGCGCGCGAUACAGGGUGACAGCCCCGUACACAAAAGCGCACAUGCUGUGAGCUCGAUGAGUAGGGCGGGACACGUGGUAUCCUGUCUGAAUAUGGGGGGACCAUCCUCCAAGGCUAAAUACUCCUGACUGACCGAUAGUGAACCAGUACCGUGAGGGAAAGGCGAAAAGAACCCCGGCGAGGGGAGUGAAAAAGAACCUGAAACCGUGUACGUACAAGCAGUGGGAGCACAGGUUUACCUGUGUGACUGCGUACCUUUUGUAUAAUGGGUCAGCGACUUAUAUUCUGUAGCAAGGUUAACCGCAUAGGGGAGCCGUAGGGAAACCGAGUCUUAACCGGGCGUUAAGUUGCAGGGUAUAGACCCGAAACCCGGUGAUCUAGCCAUGGGCAGGUUGAAGGUUGGGUAACACUAACUGGAGGACCGAACCGACUAAUGUUGAAAAAUUAGCGGAUGACCUGUGGCUGGGGGUGAAAGGCCAAUCAAACCGGGAGAUAGCUGGUUCUCCCCGAAAGCUAUUUAGGUAGCGCCUCGUGAACUCAUCUCCGGGGGUAGAGCACUGUUUCGGCUAGGGGGCCAUCCCGGCUUACCAACCCGAUGCAAACUGCGAAUACCGGAGAAUGUUAUCACGGGAGACACACGGCGGGUGCUAACGUCCGUCGUGAAGAGGGAAACAACCCAGACCGCCAGCUAAGGUCCCAAAGUCAUGGUUAAGUGGGAAACGAUGUGGGAAGGCCCAGACAGCCAGGAUGUUGGCUUAGAAGCAGCCAUCAUUUAAAGAAAGCGUAAUAGCUCACUGGUCGAGUCGGCCUGCGCGGAAGAUGUAACGGGGCUAAACCAUGCACCGAAGCUGCGGCAGCGAACGUAUCACUUAAAGCGAUUCAGCGGGUUACGAUUGACGGAGCGAAGCGACGUCAAAGCGUAUACAAAGUCGAGUCGGUUUAAGGAUACGUUCGUUGGGUAGGGGAGCGUUCUGUAAGCCUGCGAAGGUGGCCUGUGAGGGUUGCUGGAGGUAUCAGAAGUGCGAAUGCUGACAUAAGUAACGAUAAAGCGGGUGAAAAGCCCGCUCGCCGGAAGACCAAGGGUUCCUGUCCAACGUUAAUCGGGGCAGGGUGAGUCGACCCCUAAGGCGAGGCCGAAAGGCGUAGUCGAUGGGAAACGGGUUAAUAUUCCCGUACUUGGUGUUACUGCGAAGGGGGGACGGAGAAGGCUAUGUUGGCCGGGCGACGGUUGUCCCGGUUUAAGCGUGUAGGUGUGUGUUCCAGGUAAAUCCGGUUCACUUUAACACUGAGGCGUGAUGACGAGGCACUACGGUGCUGAAGCAACAAAUGCCCUGCUUCCAGGAAAAGCCUCUAAGCAUCAGGUAACAUCAAAUCGUACCCCAAACCGACACAGGUGGUCAGGUAGAGAAUACCAAGGCGCUUGAGAGAACUCGGGUGAAGGAACUAGGCAAAAUGGUGCCGUAACUUCGGGAGAAGGCACGCUGACACGUAGGUGAAGUGAUUUACUCAUGGAGCUGAAGUCAGGCCAAGAUACCAGCUGGCUGCAACUGUUGAGUAAAAACACAGCGCUGUGCAAGCAAGAGAGUAGACACAUACGGUGGGGCGCCUGCCCGGUACCGGAAACUUCAAUGAUGGGGUAAGCGCAAGCGAUGCUCCUGAUCGAAGCCCCGGUAAACGGCGGCCGUAACUAUAACGGUCCUAAGGUAGCGAAAUUCCUUGUCGGGUAAGUUCCGACCUGCACGAAUGGCGUAAUGAUGGCCAGGCUGUCUCCACCCGAGACUCAGUGAAAUUGAACUCGCUGUGAAGAUGCAGUGUACCCGCGGCAAGACGGAAAGACCCCGUGAACCUUUACUAUAGCUUGACACUGAACAUUGAGCCUUGAUGUGUAGGAUAGGUGGGAGGCUUUGAAGUGUGGACGCCAGUCUGCAUGGAGCCGACCUUGAAAUACCACCCUUUAAUGUUUGAUGUUCUAACGUGGACCCGUUACCCGGGUUGCGGACAGUGUCUGGUGGGUAGUUUGACUGGGGCGGUCUCCUCCUAAAGAGUAACGGAGGAGCACGAAGGUUGGCUAAUCCUGGUCGGACAUCAGGAGGUUAGUGCAAUAGCAUAAGCCAGCUUGACUGCGAGCGUGACGGCGCGAGCAGGUGCGAAAGCAGGUCAUAGUGAUCCGGUGGUUCUGAAUGGAAGGGCCAUCGCUCAACGGAUAAAAGGUACUCCGGGGAUAACAGGCUGAUACCGCCCAAGAGUUCAUAUCGACGGCGGUGUUUGGCACCUCGAUGUCGGCUCAUCACAUCCUGGGGCUGAAGUAGGUCCCAAGGGUAUGGCUGUUCGCCAUUUAAAGUGGUACGCGAGCUGGGUUUAGAACGUCGUGAGACAGUUCGGUCCCUAUCUGCCGUGGGCGCUGGAGAACUGAGGGGGGCUGCUCCUAGUACGAGAGGACCGGAGUGGACGCAUCACUGGUGUUCGGGUUGUCAUGCCAAUGGCACUGCCCGGUAGCUAAAUGCGGAAGAGAUAAGUGCUGAAAGCAUCUAAGCACGAAACUUGCCCCGAGAUGAGUUCUCCCUGAGACUUUAAGUCUCCUGAAGGAACGUUGAAGACGACGACGUUGAUAGGCCGGGUGUGUAAGCGCAGCGAUGCGUUGAGCUAACCGGUACUAAUGAACCGUGAGGCUUAACCUUACAACGCCGAAG
rnacentral:rRNA from 1 species